rnacentral:lncRNA from 1 species
GUUUCCUACAUGUAACAUCACAUCAUGUAUCUAUCUAUCUAUCUAUCUAUCUAACUGUAGUAGUAUGUAACAUCACAUCAUGUAUGUAACUGUAGUGGUAUGUAACAUCACAUCAUGUAUGUAACUGUAGUGGUAUGUAACAUCAUGUAUGUAACUGUAGUAGUAUGUAACAUCAUGUAUGUAACUGUAAUAGUAUGUAACAUCAUGUAUGUAACUGAAGUGGUAUGUAACAUCAUGUAUGUAACUGAAGUAGUAUGUAACAUCACAUCAUGUAUCUAUCUAACUGUAGCAGUAUGUAACAUCAUGUAUGUAACUGUAGUAGUAUGUAACAUCACAUCAUGUAUGUAACAUCAUGUAUGUAACUGUAGUAGUAUGUAACAUCACAUCAUGUAUGUAACAUCAUGUAACGGCCUGGCCAUAGAGAGGGGUUUUUUGUUCUUUAUUUUGGUUAGGCCAGGGUGUUACAUUGGGUGGGCGUUCUACGUUCUGUUUCUAUGUGUUUGUAGUUCUUUGUUUUGGGCCGUGUGUGGCUCCCAAUCAGGCACAGCUGAAGUUCGUUGUUGCUGAUUGGGAGUCACACAUAAGGAGCAUGUUUUUCCGUUGGGGUUUUUGGUGGGUAAUUGUUUCUGUUUAGUGUUUUGCACCUGACGGGACUGUUUGGCUGUUCGGUUUUCUUGUUUUGUUUCGUAUAUUGUGUUCUUUCUAUUAAAUUAAAUUCAAUGAUGAACACUAACUCUGCUGCACCUUGGUCUACUCUCUCUCUACCGACAGCCGUUACACAUCAUGUAUGUAACUGUAGUAGUAUGUAACAUCAUGUAUGUAUGUAACUGUAGUAGUAUGUAACAUCUAUGUAACUGUAGUAGCAUGUAACAUCAUGUAUGUAACAUUAUUAGUAUGUAACAUGUAUGUAACUGUAGUAGUAUGUAACAUCAUGUAUGUAACUGUAGCAGUAUGUAACAUCAUGUAUGUAACAUCAGAUCAUGUAUGUAACUGUAGUAGUAUGUAACAUCACAUCAUUUAUGUAACAGUAGCAGUAUGUAACAUCACAUCAUGUAUGUAACUGUAAUAGUAUGUAACAUCAAUUAUGUAAAUGUAUUGGUAGUAUGUAACAUCAUGUAUGUAACUGUAGUAGAUGUAACAUUAUGUAUGUAACUGUAGCAGUAUUUAACAUGUAUGUAAAUGUAGCAGUAUGUAACAUCAUGUAUGUAACAUCUAUGAAACUGUAGCAGUAUUUAACAUGUAUGUAAAUGUAGCAGUAUGUAACAUCAUGUAUGUAACAUCAUGUAUGUAACUGUAGUAGUAUGUAACAUGUAUGUAACUGUAGUAGAAUGUGACAUAAUGAAUAUAACAUCAUGUAUGUAACUGUAGUCGUAUGUAACAUCAUGUAUGUAACUGUAAUAGUAUGUAACAUCAUGUAUGUAACUGUAGUAGUAUGCAACAUCAUGUAU